AUUGAACGCUGGCGGCAGGCCUAACACAUGCAAGUCGAACGAGUGGCGGACGGGUGAGUAAUGUCUGUGAAACUGCCUGAUGUAGGGGGAUAACUACUGGAAACGGUAGCUAUUACCGCAUACCAUCAGAUGUGUCCAGAUGGGAUUAGCUUGGUGGUGGGGUAACGGGGUACCAAGGCGACGAUCCCUAGCUGGUCUGAGAGGAUGAUCAGUGACACUGGAACGGAGACACGGCCCAGACGCCUACGGGAGGAAGCAGUGGGGAAGAUUGGACAAUGGGCGAAAGCCUGAUCCAGCCAUGCCGCGUGUGUGAAGAAGGGCUUCGGAUUGUAAAGCACUAUAAGUUGGGAGGCGUUACCAACAGAAUAAGCACCGGCUAACUUCGUGCCAGCAGCCGCGGUAAUUC
rnacentral:rRNA from 1 species